rnacentral:rRNA from 1 species
AAUUCCAGGUGUAGCGGUGAAAUGCGUAGAGAUCUGGAGGAAUACCGGUGGCGAAGGCGGCCCCCUGGACAAAGACUGACGCUCAGGUGCGAAAGCGUGGGGAGCAAACAGGAUUAGAUACCCUGGUAGUCCACGCCGUAAACGAUGUCUACUUGGAGGUUGUGCCCUUGAGGCGUGGCUUCCGGAGCUAACGCGUUAAGUAGACCGCCUGGGGAGUACGGCCGCAAGGUUAAAACUCAAAUGAAUUGACGGGGGCCCGCACAAGCGGUGGAGCAUGUGGUUUAAUUCGAUGCAACGCGAAGAACCUUACCUGGUCUUGACAUCCACG